UACAGAGGGUGCGAGCGUUAAUCGGAAUUACUGGGCGUAAAGCGCGCGUAGGCGGCUUUGCAAGUCGGGUGUGAAAUCCCCAGGCUUAACCUGGGAACUGCAUUCGAGACUGCAUUGCUAGAGUAUGGGAGAGGGAAGUGGAAUUUCCGGUGUAGCGGUGAAAUGCGUAGAUAUCGGAAGGAACAUCAGUGGCGAAAGCGACUUCCUGGACCAAUACUGACGUCAUGUGCGAAAAGCGUGGGGGAGCAAAACAGG
rnacentral:rRNA from 1 species